ensembl:snoRNA SNORD58 Small nucleolar RNA SNORD58
UUGCUGUGAUGACAUUCUUAGGACACCUUUGGAUUAACCAUGAAAUAAAUCGUGUUCUGAGCAGC